rnacentral:lncRNA from 1 species
GUACGUAGUAUAUAUAUUAUGCAAUUAUAGUUUAUCUCUUUAUGGUUUUUUAUUCUCUUUAUUGUGCACACUUGAGAACUUGUGAGCAAACGGUACAGUUAUGUUUUGAACCAUAUGAAUGAGUUUAAUCUAUUACCACUUAUGUAAACUCUAUUCAUACAUGUUAUGCUUAAUGUUAAUCUUUGUUCUAAUAAAAAUACUAAUUGUGUAACUAAUGGGGAUCUGGUG